UUCUGCCGCCGUCAGCGCAAAGUGACUGUCGCUGCACUCACCUUUUCUAGGACAUGGUGGGGAGGCUGGGGCGGAGGGAGAGGGGCAGCGAGACUCCCGCCGCCGCCACUGCUGCCGCCACUAGCAAGUCCAAUAUUAGCUGGCCGGCUGUGAGGAUGGAGAGGAUGAUAAUCCCGGCAGUCACCCUACUGACGGCCAGUUCCCAGCUUUGUGGAAGAAGGAUAAAGAGCAGAGGGGAAGAAGAGAGCACUAGAAUGGUUCUCUGCAGCCAUUUAAAUUCUUCUGGUGAUCCGACUCCUGCAUCAGAGGGCUUCAUUUGAUUUCUCCAACCUCGUUUCCUUCUACCCAACAUGACUGUCUUCCAGGAACGCCACAGUCAGCGUUUCUAUUCUUUCCUGAAGCCCAUUUUUCACCGUUUACCUUGAACUUCUG
rnacentral:lncRNA from 1 species